GAUGAACGCUGGCGGCGUGCCUAAUACAUGCAAGUCGAGCGAACAGAUGAGGAGCUUGCUCCUCUGACGUUAGCGGCGGACGGGUGAGUAACACGUGGAUAACCUACCUAUAAGACUGGGAUAACUUCGUGAAACCGGAGCUAAUACCGGAUAAUAUAUUGAACCGCAUGGUUCAAUAGUGAAAGACGGUUUUGCUGUCACUUAUAGAUGGAUCCGCGCCGCAUUAGCUAGUUGGUAAGGUAACGGCUUACCAAGGCAACGAUGCGUAGCCGACCUGAGAGGGUGAUCGGCCACACUGGAACUGAGACACGGUCCAGACUCCUACGGGAGGCAGCAGUAGGGAAUCUUCGGCAAUGGGCGAAAGCCUGACGGAGCAACGCCGCGUGAGUGAUGAAGGUCUUCGGAUCGUAAAACUCUGUUAUUAGGGAAGAACAAAUGUGUAAGUAACUAUGCACGUCGUGACGGUACCUAAUCAGAAAGCCACGGCUAACUACGUG
rnacentral:rRNA from 1 species